CGGGGUGUGGCUCAGUUGGUAGAGCGCUCGCUUUGGGAGCGAGAGGUCGUGAGUUCGAAUCUCGCCACCCCGA
rfam:Microgenomates (Woesebacteria) bacterium GW2011_GWB1_38_5b TS96_C0007, whole genome shotgun sequence.